rnacentral:tRNA from 1 species
GGGGAUUUAGCUCAGCGGCUUAAGCGCCUGCCUUGCAAGCAGGCAGUUGUGAGUUCAAUCCCUG